UACGUAUGGUGCAAGCGUUAUCCGGAUUUACUGGGUGUAAAGGGAGCGUAGACGGCUGUGUAAGUCUGAUGUGAAAGCCCGGGGCUCAACCCCGGGACUGCAUUGGAAACUAUGUAACUAGAGUGUCGGAGAGGUAAGCGGAAUUCCUAGUGUAGCGGUGAAAUGCGUAGAUAUUAGGAGGAACACCAGUGGCGAAGGCGGCUUACUGGACGAUCACUGACGUUGAGGCUCGAAAGCGUGGGGAGCAAACAGG
rnacentral:rRNA from 1 species